GACGAACGCUGGCGGCGUGGAUUAGGCAUGCAAGUCGAACGGUAUCAUCCUUUCGGGGGUGAGAGAGUGGCGAACUGGUGAGUAACACGUAGGUUAUCUACCCUCAAGACGGGGACAACCCAGGGAAACUUGGGCUAAUACCGGAUGUGAGCAACUUUUAGUUGUUUGAAAGGUGGCGUAAGCUGUCGCUUGGGGAUGAGCCUGCGUCCUAUUAGUUAGUUGGUGAGGUAACGGCUCACCUAGGCAAUGAUAGGUAGGCGGCCUUAACGGGUGGUCGCCCACACUGGGAUUGAGAUACGGCCCAGACUCCUACGGGAGGCAGCAGUCGAGAAUAGUCUACAAUGGUCGGAAGACUGAUAGUGCGACGCCGCGUGAACGAUGAAUCCCUUCGGGGUGUAAAGUUCUUUUAUAUGUGAGCAGUGCUUCUUAUAUUAAACAGUAUGGGGAAGAAGAGAUAUUAGCAUAUGAAUAAGCAACGGCUAACUCCGUGCCAGCAGCCGACGGUAAACU
rnacentral:rRNA from 1 species